rnacentral:rRNA from 1 species
AGUGAACGCUGGCGGCAGGCCUAACACAUGCAAGUCGAGCGGCAGCGGGUCCUUCGGGCUGCCGGCGAGCGGCGGACGGGUGAGGAAUACAUCGGAAUCUGCCCUGUCGUGGGGGAUAACCUAGGGAAACUUAGGCUAAUACCGCAUACGACCUACGGGUGAAAGCGGGGGAUCGCAAGACCUCGCGCGACAGGAUGAGCCGAUGUCCGAUUAGCUAGUUGGCGGGGUAAAGGCCCACCAAGGCGACGAUCGGUAGCUGGUCUGAGAGGAUGAUCAGCCACACGGGGACUGAGACACGGCCGAGACUCCGGGGGGAGGCAGCAGUGGGGAAUAUUGGGCAAUGGGGGCAAGCCUGAUCCAGCAAUGCCGGGUGGGUGAAGAAGGCCUUCGGGUUGUAAAGCCCUUUUGUCCGGGAAGAAGUCGUGUGGGCUAAUACCCCGGGAGGAUGACGGUACCGGAAGAAUAAGCACCGGCUAACUUCGUG